GACGAACGCUGGCGGCGUGCUUAACACAUGCAAGUCGAACGGAAAGGCCCUGCUUUUGUGGGGUGCUCGAGUGGCGAACGGGUGAGUAACACGUGAGUAACCUGCCCCUGACUUUGGGAUAACUUCAGGAAACUGGGGCUAAUACCGGAUAGGAGCUCCUGCUGCAUGGUGGGGGUUGGUAAGUUUCGGCGGUUGGGGAUGGACUAGCGGCUUAUCAGCUUGUUGGUGGGGUAGUGGCUUACCAAGGCUUUGACGGGUAGCCGGCCUGGGAGGGUGACCGGCCACAUUGGGACUGAGAUACGGCCCAGACGCGUACGGGAGGCAGCGGUGGGGAAUAUUGCACAAUGGGCGGAAGCCUGAUGCAGCAACGCCGCGUGCGGGAUGACGGCCUUCGGGUUGUAAACCGCUUUCGCCUGUGACGAAGCGUGAGUGACGGUAAUGGGUAAAGAAGCACCGGCUAACUACGUG
rnacentral:rRNA from 1 species